rnacentral:rRNA from 1 species
CAGUCGCCGCGGUAAUACGUAGGGUGCGAGCGUUAAUCGGAAUUACUGGGCGUAAAGCGUGCGCAGGCGGUUAUAUAAGACAGAUGUGAAAUCCCCGGGCUCAACCUGGGACCUGCAUUUGUGACUGUAUAGCUAGAGUACGGUAGAGGGGGAUGGAAUUCCGCGUGUAGCAGUGAAAUGCGUAGAUAUGCGGAGGAACACCGAUGGCGAAGGCAAUCCCCUGGACCUGUACUGACGCUCAUGCACGAAAGCGUGGGGAGCGAACAGGAUUAGAUACCCCUGUAGUCCCUGUCUCUUAUAC